AACGAACGCUGGCGGCAGGCUUAACACAUGCAAGUCGAACGCCCCGCAAGGGGAGUGGCAGACGGGUGAGUAACGCGUGGGAAUCUACCCAGAUCUACGGAACAACAGUUGGAAACGACUGCUAAUACCGUAUACGCCCUACGGGGGAAAGAUUUAUCGGAUUUGGAUGAGCCCGCGUUGGAGUAGCUAGUUGGUGGGGUAAUGGCCUACCAAGGCGACGAUCCAUAGCUGGUCUGAGAGGAUGAUCAGCCACACUGGGACUGAGACACGGCCCAGACUCCUACGGGAGGCAGCAGUGGGGAAUAUUGGACAAUGGGCGCAAGCCUGAUCCAGCCAUGCCGCGUGAGUGAUGAAGGCCUUAGGGUUGUAAAGCUCUUUCACCGAUGAAGAUAAUGACGGUAGUCGGAGAAGAAGCCCCGGCUAACUUCGUGCCAGCCGCCGCCGUAAGAC
rnacentral:rRNA from 1 species